GGAAGUGUGCCUGAAACCAAGGGA
rnacentral:tRNA from 1 species